CAGGCUUAACACAUGCAAGUCGAGGGGCAGCAUUUUAGUUUGCUUGCAAACUAAAGAUGGCGACCGGCGCACGGGUGAGUAACACGUAUCCAACCUGCCGAUAACUCGGGGAUAGCCUUUCGAAAGAAAGAUUAAUAUCCGAUGAUAUAUUAAAACCGCAUGGUUUUACUAUUAAAGAAUUUCGGUUAUCGAUGGGGAUGCGUUCCAUUAGUUUGUUGGCGGGGUAACGGCCCACCAAGACUACGAUGGAUAGGGGUUCUGAGAGGAAGGUCCCCCACAUUGGAACUGAGACACGGUCCAAACUCCUACGGGAGGCAGCAGUGAGGAAUAUUGGUCAAUGGACGAGAGUCUGAACCAGCCAAGUAGCGUGAAGGAUGACUGCCCUAUGGGUUGUAAACUUCUUUUAUAUGGGAAUAAAGUAUUCCACGUGUGGGAUUUUGUAUGUACCAUAUGAAUAAGGAUCGGCUAACUCCGUGCCAGCAGCCGCGGUAAUACGGAGGAUCCGAGCGUUAUCCGGAUUUAUUGGGUUUAAAGGGAGCGUAGGUGGAUUGUUAAGUCAGUUGUGAAAGUUUGCGGCUCAACCGUAAAAUUGCAGUUGAAACUGGCAGUCUUGAGUACAGUAGAGGUGGGCGGAAUUCGUGGUGUAGCGGUGAAAUGCUUAGAUAUCACGAAGAA
rnacentral:rRNA from 1 species